GGAUGUAAGAGUGAUCUGGCUGUGACAUAUGUCACUCAUGAUCGCUAGGCUUGAUCUGAUUGAUCAGGCUGACCAGGCGGGUAUCCCCUACCUCCUCUGUGCUCCAUGUGUGACCUCUCAAGCUAUGUGCUCUGUCUUGGUUUCUUUCUAGUUGUGGAAACAAAAAUACCUGACAACCCACCAAGGAAAGGAGGAAAGAUUUAUUCAGUUUGUAGAGGUUUCAGUCCAGAGUUGGCUGACUCCAAGGCAGGGAGGCAUGGCAAUUUCAUGUAAGUGGUCACUCAUAAGCACGCAGAGCAUUUGCCCUGCUGU
rnacentral:snRNA from 1 species